rnacentral:rRNA from 1 species
UCAAAUUUGAAAUCUGGCUCUUUUAGAGUCCGAGUUGUAAUUUGCAGAGGGCGCUUUGGCUUUGGCAGCGGUCCAAGUUCCUUGGAACAGGACGUCACAGAGGGUGAGAAUCCCGUACGUGGUCGCUGGCUAUUGCCGUGUAAAGCCCCUUCGACGAGUCGAGUUGUUUGGGAAUGCAGCUCUAAAUGGGAGGUACAUUUCUUCUAAAGCUAAAUAUUGGCCAGAGACCGAUAGCGCACAAGUAGAGUGAUCGAAAGAUGAAAAGCACUUUGGAAAGAGAGUCAAACAGCACGUGAAAUUGUUGAAAGGGAAGCGCUUGCAGCCAGACUUGCUUACAGUUGCUCAUCCGGGUUUCUACCCGGUGCACUCUUCUGUAGGCAGGCCAGCAUCAGUUUGGGCGGUAGGAUAAAGGUCUCUGUCACGUACCUCCUUUCGGGGAGGCCUUAUAGGGGAGACGACAUACUACCAGCCUGGACUGAGGUCCGCGCAUCUGCUAGGAUGCUGGCGUAAUGGCUGUAAGCGGCCCG